GCAGGGGCGAGAGGGAUUCAGUGAAUCCAAGAGGAGGAAGCUUGAGAGGACAUGUGGGUGAAACCAGACAAAUAAGGUGGAGGGAGCAGGAUGCUGGCUGGAGAGGCCCCCCAACACCCGCCCCUGCAGCACUGCAGAGAACCCAAACCCACUGCUGGAAGGAGCCCCCAGCUCGGCCAAUGGCUCCCAUUUUACACACGCAAAUGCUGAGACCCAGCGUGAGCAAAUGGCUCCACCAAGGUCACUCAGCAAGCCGGUGGCCAAGACGGGAUUCGAAAUUCCAUCACGUGACUCCUGGCCCAUCUUGUUCCCAUGCCUGCAGCCAGCCCUGACCCACCUUAGGUGGUGAAGACCUCCCUCAUCGAGCCUGGCCUAGGCUGUCUCCUAAGGCCUCAGAAGACUUCAAGUUCCUCCCAACCCCAACAGCUUGGUAUCCUUCAACCACAGAGACUGUCCAGCUCCCUGAACCUCUCAACUCCCAUCCCUGUAGAGAAGCCUACAAAGAAGUGAGUCCUACUUCAAAAAUCAAUGCACAGAGAGGGUUGGCAACUGCCUGGAGGUCACACAGCAAAGUCAUGGAGCUCCAAAAUUCAAUGUCUUCACCUGAGACCAUUCCUGAGCCCCGCUACCCCUGCCCAGGAACUUCCUCCAACAGCCUGAAGGACAGGGAGAGCAGCCAGCCCCGCUGACCGAUGUCCAAGACCGCAGUGAUGCUAUUCCUUCCUCGAGUGAGCUCUGCCCACCCUGUGCCAGAUUUAGCCAUUUAAUGCAACCAGACCUGCUCCGUCCCUGCCUCUGAGAUUAGCUCUGGACCGGGGCUUUGAAUGCCUGCCCAGAGACACUCAGCUUAAAACACCAGGAACCAAAAAAAAAAAAAAAUCGACCACAUUUAAUGGAGCCGUCAGCGGGCGGGUCUGAAUUGUCCAUUAUGUGACCCUACCCGCCUAGGGAGCCGAGCCAUGUGGCCACCUGACCACAGCAUUAAGGCGACAUCAGCCCGCAGGCCAGGCGGGGGUGGAGCUACCAGAGUCUUUGGCCUGGGGCGCCUGCCUCUCCAUCCUCAAGGCCCAGGGCCCCAGGGAUUCUUGGUGCCACUCAACAGGCAGGAAGGCAGCAGCUCUCAUUGGCUAAAUCUACCCCUUCUGGUCUCAGGGCCCCACUCCUAGAUACGCCCUGCGUAUGUCUCUAUGGCCUGAGACUCCCUCUGUUGCAGAAGUCGAGAGAGCAUCAGUGUCUGUCCCUCAAAUAGUGCCCUGGCUAAUGCCUGAUGUGCCACUAUUGUUGCCAUUUCCUUUUGCUAUUUAAAAAUUGCCAUUGUUAACAUCCAAGUUGCUCUAGACACUAUCUCCCAAAAUGUGUUCCAGGAAACAUUAAUCUCUCAAGAUGCAUAGAAAACAAAAAGAAGAGGGAGGGCUCCACAGUCAAGCAAGUUUAGGAAGCACUGCAAAUGCUAGUCCUCUUUUGGAGAGUUACAAGUCUAGCAAAGGCUCUGAGGAAUCCUGCAAUCGAGUUGGAGUUUCUUUAAUCCACUCCCCAGACUUACUUCAUUACAGAACCCUCCCCUUAUCUUGGCAGAGCAUCCAUUAAUAUGCUGAAAGCCUAGUAUACCAGGGAAAACCCUUUGGGAAAUGACAUUUUAGGGGUUUGAGUCCCUCUCCUUCCCCCAAGCCUCAACUGUGGUCAGAAGCUCCAAUUAUGAGGCUGGUCAAAGCCAGUGAAGAGAGGAAGGGUGACUCCAGCCUUCAGUGACAGGUGAAUGUAAGGGUCACAGUCACAGUCUCACCCAGAAUUGAGGAAGGGAACAUGGAUCCAUCCACGCCUAGAUGCAAGGAGGGCGUCAUGCCACAUGGUGAGAAGAGCAUGUGGGGUGCCCUCUAGCCCCCAUCCCACCCAACUCUGGUAGAGCAGCAACUUAGCCAUGGAAGAAAGUUCUAACACCCUUGUUAGAGCUGGCUCUCAGAAGCCCGAACACUGAAACCUCUGCUCCCUGAAGAUUUCUUCUGCAAAUUCACAGGCUGCCUAGUGUUCUGGCAGAAGCCCCAAGCAAGACAAUGCAGGCCUGGAUUCUGCUCCUGCUUUUCCUAGUGGCCUGCUAUGUGACCCACGGAAGGCCUUCAAUCUGUCUGUGCUGGUACCCACAGGUCCGAGCCCCAGGGACCUCACUGCAUGGACACGCAUCUUCUGCUGCUCUCCCAGGAAUAUUGGGCUGAUUGUGUGAGGUGUCCUGAGCUCCCACCACCCAAGGUUUAUGAAGCACCUUCUCUGUGUCAGCCCUGUGCAAGGUGCUAGAUCCUCAGUUUACCCCCUUCUGCAAAGCCAUGAUUGUCUUACUGAAGGCCAGUCUGUAGCUCCAGUCGCUCCAGUCUUCAAUGAAGAUAAGCAAUUUGGUAAACGUGGAUCUCCUGUGAGAGAAGAAAGCAACUGGGGCAUCAAAGCUCCUUUUAGGUAAAUUUUCCAGGGCCACAGAACUCAUGCAGAGUGACAGAUUGUAUUUCCAAAGAUGGCCACCACAACAAUUUCCAACCCAUGUGCUCUUCUCACACUGUGACAUGACCUCUGUUCCCUCCCUGGAUCCUGAGACAACGGUGGAAGACACACUACUUGACUUUGGAGGCUAGGUCAUAAAAAGCAACACAGCCUUCCCUUGGCCCUGUUGGGAUGCUCCAUUUUAGAACCCAGACACCAUGGUAUUAGGAAGCCCAGGCCACCUGGAGAGACUGCAUGUAACAGGCUGAGCUGAGGUCCAGGAGAUGCCAGCCUCAGACAUGAAUUUGAGAAAGGCUUCAAAAUGACAAUGACUCCAGCCCCAGCCGUAAUCUGACCACAACUGCAGGAGAAACCUGAGCAAGAACUGACUGGCUGAGCCCCGCCAACACCCAGAAAAGAGAGAUAAUAAUAAAAUGAUUGUCAUUGCCUUAAUUUGCCUGAAUGGGGGAGUGAUAUUUUGUGAGCAGUAGACACUAGGAAUAUGUGGCAAGAAGCUUCUUGCAAAUCACCUUUGCAGGAUUGAGGAGGGCCUGUCACACCCUGGAGUGUCCCUCCCUCUAUUCUAUCCUUUGCUGAACCAAAGGAUGCACACAGCUCUCUGUAACAUGAUAACAGUCCACACCAACUGGCUGAAACAUUGGAAAGCCCGUGUCCCUAUGAGGUCUGGGCUACGAGGAGUGCUGUUGGCCUCAGCCCCUACAACUCCUGUUAAAACUUAUUUCCUGAAAACAGGAAAUCUGAAUCAAGUAUGGACUUCAGUUAAUACCAAUACAUCAAUGCUGAUUAAGUAAUCAUGA
rnacentral:lncRNA from 1 species